rnacentral:tRNA from 1 species
GGCGGUAUGGUGAAAUUGGUAUACACGCCUGAUUCAAAAUCAGGUGCCUUCGGGCGUAGCGGUUCAAGUCCGCUUACCGCUACCA